rnacentral:lncRNA from 1 species
UCUCGAAAACGUUAAUGCCAAAUAAAACAAAAUUGUAUUUGCAAAGAGCUCGUUUUAUUAUAGUCUCUAAUUUUAAUUUUAAUGCAAACAUUUUCGAUGCUCAAUGUAUCAUCAUCAGGUUUGAAGAAAAGAAAAUAUCAAGAGAAUUUGUUUGAAAGUCGCAUUAGCAGACACAAGACAAAGAUAUUUUAAUGUUAUUAGCAUAGAAGAGAAUUAUAAGAGUCAAUUGCAGAAAAUACAAGAACAAGUAAAUGUAAUUAAUAAAGUUGCAGAACAGGAAGAGAGGCUUAUAAGAGAUCUAAGGAUGAAAUAUAUAAGAAAAAAAUCAAACGGAUUUUUAAAAAACAGCAUCUCAAUAUGAAUAAAGCACAGUUGCCUUUGGAAAAAGUGAUAACUAUAAUAGGGGAUAUAGACUUCCAUUGUAUGCUGAACAGCUUUUUAUAAAAGGACCAGCUUGUGCCUUGAACAAGAAAUUAAAUGUAAAAAGCAAAAUACAUAGCAUAAAGGACUUGCUUGCUAAUAAACAAGCCAAAGCUUGGAGAAGCAAAAAUUGAAAUGGAAGUUUGUUCGAAAGUACAAAACUCCCAUUUCAAUUUUUCUUCAUUCGUUGAGAGAGUACAAAACCAUGGCAGACAAGUCAGAGUAAAAGAGGAUAAUUAUGACUUGCAUCUACUUAAAAAAACACUACAAUAGAUGGAGCACAAUAAUUAUAUUAUAACAAGAACAGAUAAAACGAAAAAAAAUGAUGCUAUUAAGGAAAGAGAUGAUGCCUUCUUACACCAUAUAUACAGUCCAUGAAACUAACAAUAUUACAAAACAAUCUUACUAUGGAAAUUAAAGCAAUAUUAGUUAGGCUCAGCAAAAGUAAACAAUUCCCAGACAUUUGGAAACACUCUCCAAUGAAAACAUCUACUAGCGCAAGGUUGUUCACGUUCAUCAAAAAGCAUAAGGAUCCAAUAACAGCUAGACCUAUAGUUGAGAAAAUUAAUGCCCCUACAUAUAAUUUGGAGAAGAAAAUUGCAUCUUAGGCCAAACUCUUAACCACCAUUACAAUUCAAGUCCUGGCUAAGUUAAGAGAAUUCCAAUGGAGAGAAGGUAAUCUAAUAAUAAUAUUCGAUUAUGAAAGCUUAUAUUCUUCUUUAGAAAUCAAACCCACAUGCCUAGCAUUUUACAGAUUUCUCCUCACUAAUACUCCUGACUCCCAAGUAAAAGCGCCUCUAUUUAGAGAACUGGUGUACUUGAUAUGACACAAAUCGUAUUUUGGCUUUAAGGGACAAAUGCUAUUUCCAGCAUAAAGGUGCAUACCAAUAGGGAUCCUUAUGGUACCCCCUUAGCUGAAAUCUUGCUAAAGGAGGUGGAGGCUAAAGUUUUGCAUAAAUUCUGCAGUGGUAUGAGAUUAUAUUUACGUUAUGUUGAUGACAUAAUAGUAUGGGACAAAGGGGAAAAGCCAGAAGUACUAGCUGAGCAUUUAACGAUAAAAUCAUAUGGCCUAGUACUAAAAGAACAACAAGUUAGCCAUUCCUCUGCUCACUUUUUAGAUAUAAAAUUGGAAUUGAAAGAUAAAAAAAUUGGAGAUAUCGGUCUA